UACGUAGGGUGCAAGCGUUAAUCGGAAUUACUGGGCGUAAAGCGCACGUAGGCGGAUUGUUAAGUCAGGGGUGAAAUCCUGGAGCUCAACUCCAGAACUGCCUUUGAUACUGACGGUCUUGAGUUCGGGAGAGGUGAGUGGAACUGCGAGUGUAGAGGUGAAAUUCGUAGAUAUUCGCAAGAACACCAGUGGCGAAGGCGGCUCACUGGCCCGAUACUGACGCUGAGGUGCGAAAGCGUGGGGAGCAAACAGG
rnacentral:rRNA from 1 species